rnacentral:rRNA from 1 species
AAGAACCCACCAGGGAUUGCCCUAGUAACGGCGAGUGAAGCGGCAGCAGCUCAAAUUUGAAAUCUGGCCUUCGCGGCCCGAGUUGUAAUUUGUAGAGGAUGCUCUUGGUGCGGUGCCUUCCGAGUUCCCUGGAACGGGACGCCGGAGAGGGUGAGAGCCCCGUACGGUUGGACGCCUAACCUGUAUAUAGCUCCUUCGACGAGUCGAGUAGUUUGGGAAUGCUGCUCUAAAUGGGAGGUAAAUUUCUUCUAAAGCUAAAUACCGGCCAGAGACCGAUAGCGUACAAGUAGAGUGAUCGAAAGAUGAAAAGCACUUUGGAAAGAGGGUUAAAUAGCACGUGAAAUUGUUGAAAGGGAAGCGUUUGCGACCAGACCUUUUCCGGGCGGAUCAUCCGGUGUUCUCACCGGUGUACUUCGCCCGGUUUAGGCCAGCAUCGGUUCCCUUAGGGGGAUAAAGGCUCGGGGAACGUAGCUCUCUCGGGAGUGUUAUAGCCCCUUGCGUAAUACCCCUCGGGGGACCGAGGACCGCGCUCUGCAAGGAUGCUGGCGUAAUGGUCGUCAACGACCCGUCUUGAAACACGGACCAAGGAGUCGAACAUUUGUGCGAGUGUUUGGGUGUUAAACCCUCACGCGUAAUGAAAGUGAACGGAGGUGAGAGCCCUUACGGGUGCAUCAUCGACCGAUCCUGAUGUCUUCGGAUGGAUUUGAGUAAGAGCAUAACUGUUCGGACCCGAAAGAUGGUGAACUAUGCGUGGAUAGGGUGAAGCCAGAGGAAACUCUGGUGGAGGCUCGCAGCGGUUCUGACGUGCAAAUCGAUCGUCAAAUCUGCGCAUGGGGGCGAAAGACUUAUCGAACCAUCUAGUAGCUGGUACGCAGAUUUUCUCUCU